rnacentral:ncRNA from 1 species
CCACGAAAAGGCAAAGCUGCCGCGAGGUAGUGACGCAAAGCCAUGGGACCCACGAGGUUCGCCAGGCUGCCGAAC